rnacentral:rRNA from 1 species
GAAACCGGAGCUAAUACCGAAUGAUCUGACAAGGUCUUAGGACUUUGUCGGUAAAGCCUUAGGGCGCGAGGGGAUCGGGCUGCGGCUCAUUAGCUUGAUGGUAGGGUAACGGCCUACCAUGGCUACGAUGAGUAGCUGGUCUGAGAGGAGGAUCAGCCACACUGGAACUGAAACACGGUCCAGACUCCCACGGGAGGCAGCAGUUGGGAAUAUUGGACAAUGGGCGAAAGCCUGAUCCAGCAAUCCCGCGUGAGUGAUGAAGGCCCUCGGGUCGUAAAGCUCUUUCAGCAGGGAAGAAGCUUCGGCUGACGGUACCUGCAGAAGAAGCACCGGCUAACUACGUGCCAGCAGCCGCGGUAAUACGUAGGGUGCAAGCGUUGUUCGGAAUCAUUGGGCGUAAAGCGCGUGUAGGCGGCCUGUUAAGUCUGAUGUGAAAGCCCGGGGCUCAACCCCGGAAGUGCAUUGGAUACUGGCAGGCUAGAGGACGAGAGAGGUAAGUGGAAUUCCUGGUGUAGGGGUGAAAUCCGUAGAUAUCAGGA